rnacentral:rRNA from 1 species
CCUGGCUUAGGAUAAAACGCUGGCGGCAUGCCUAAUACGAUGCAAGUCGAAACGGAGUACCUUCGGGUAACUUAGUGGCGAACGGGGUGAGUAACACGUAGGUAAUCCAUCCCAAGGACGAGGAUAGCUUCUGGAAACGGAAGGUAAAAACUGGAUAGUUAAUUAAAGGGCAUCCUUUAGUUAUUAAAAAGAGCAAUCUACCCUGGGAAGAGCCUGCGGCGCAUUAGCUAGUUGGUGAGGUAAUGGCCCACCAAGGCGAUGAUGCGUAGCCGGACUGAGAGGUCGACCGGCCACAUUGGGACUGAGACACGGCCCAGACUCCUACGGGAGGCAGCAGUAGGGAAUUUUCGGCAAUGGGCGGGAGCCUGAACCCGAGCAAUGCCGCGUGAAUGAUGAAGUAUUUCGGUAUGUAAAGUUCUUUUAACAGGGACGAAAAAACAAAUUGACGGUACCUGUUGAAUAAGCUCCGGCUAACUACGUGCCAGCCGCCGC